GCGGCGGCUUCGUACGGCACCGCCACGCGGGCUGUACUACCAGUACUACCUUGAAGGCGAUCCGCGAUGCCGACAAAGAGCGCCGAAUGCUGAUAACCUUGCGCGCGAUGUUCUCGCCGCUUACUUAACGUUGAAGAGAUACGCGCGUGUCCGUACCUUCGAAGCGAUCUGCGAAUGUGGCAGAGCGCUGCGCGCGCUGAGAGCUUCGUGAGCGCUGUGUUCCCGCCGCUUCGUUGGCGUUGAAGCGAGAGGCAGCACGAAGCCGAAUUUGCUCGCUGCUGUGGGCGCCAUGUCGAAAGUGGUCGUCUUACGGGACGGACGGACGGAGGGAGGGAGAGACGGACGGAUGCGCAGUUUUAUCAUUGGCGCAGACCCACCACACGCGGUCGAGAUCGUAUCAACUGGUUGGCAGCAAUGGGAUACUCCACCCUUCGUCCCGGCUUCAGCAGAAUGAUUGAUUUCACCGCAAGCUGCCAGACGAAACCAUAAGCUGCCGCCGUCGCUACGAAGCUGACAAGUAUCUGAUCGUCACUGCAUCUACCCUGCUGCUUAUCAAGAUUCCAGGAAUGUCACGUGUUGGCAGCGCCUACUUAAAGCCAGAACACCACGUCAUCGUCACCAUUUGAGCGAUCCGCAUAGCCCAGCCCCAGCCCAAAUGGCAGGAAAGGCUCAAAAGUCUUUCUGUCACAUUUCAGGCCGUGCCAUCCAACAAAAUACUGACGUCACCAAUGCUAGAGCAUCACAUUGAAAAAGCAGCGACCACAACAAGGCGUCCCCAAGGCUUUGUGGCCAUGACGAGCAACUUCAAUACCGAACCGUGGAAUGAUGAUGUGGACAUUUUGGAUAGCUAUAAAAUCCUGCAUCGCUCCAGUGGGCAUGGCGAAAGCACACGGAGCACUGCUUUCCCAUGCGCCCUCUUUUCUUUUUGUAGAUUAGUAUUGACUACCCGCACAAAAGCGAUCAUAAAUAUUUCAUUGUAGUACUCUGU